AUGCUCCCGCUCGCCACAAUGUCCGCGCCGAGCUCGCUUCUCCUGCGGCCCGCCGCGCGCCAGCGGACGGGGGGAGAACCAGGACAAAGCUGGGGAGAACAAUCUAUCUCGGGUUCGCAGUCCCGGAGGAAUAUGCUCAGCAACUCCAUCUGUGUGAAAGCAAACAUAACGUGCUGUGCUAACCAGACGCAAACCGCGAAGCGCAAAUCGUUCUCAGGGCCCACCUCUCCACCGUCGGGUUCAGUUAAAGAGAAGGUGAAGCCGAGGCUCGACGACGGGGGUGUCGGGUUCCCGCCGUUUCGGUUCGGCGGAGGAGGCGGUGGCGGUGGCGGCGGCGGCAGCAGCUCCUCCGGUGGGUUCAUCCUCUUCGUGAUCGUUUUGCUCCUGGACUACCUGAGGGAGUUCGAGAGGAACCUACAGAAUGGGCCGCGGCGGGGCAGCGACUAUGACAGCGGGCUGGCGCCGCAGUAG
rnacentral:rRNA from 1 species